GAUGAACGCUAGCUACAGGCUUAACACAUGCAAGUCGAGGGGCAGCAUGGUCUUAGCUUGCUAAGGCCGAUGGCGACCGGCGCACGGGUGAGUAACACGUAUCCAACCUGCCGUCUACUCUUGGACAGCCUUCUGAAAGGAAGAUUAAUACAAGAUGGCAUCAUGAGUCCGCAUGUUCACAUGAUUAAAGGUAUUCCGGUAGACGAUGGGGAUGCGUUCCAUUAGAUAGUAGGCGGGGUAACGGCCCACCUAGUCUUCGAUGGAUAGGGGUUCUGAGAGGAAGGUCCCCCACAUUGGAACUGAGACACGGUCCAAACUCAUACGGGAGGCAGCAGUGAGGAAUAUUGGUCAAUGGGCGCAGGCCUGAACCAGCCAAGUAGCGUGAAGGAUGACUGCCCUAUGGGUUGUAAACUUCUUUUAUAAAGGAAUAAAGUCGGGUAUGUAUACCCGUUUGCAUGUACUUUAUGAAUAAGGAUCGGCUAACUACGUG
rnacentral:rRNA from 1 species